rnacentral:tRNA from 3 species
GCCGACGUGGCUCAACGGUAGAGCACUCGACUUGUAAUCGAGCGGUUGUGGGUUCGAUUCCUACCGUCGGCACCA